GAUCUCUUACUGGAACAGGAAAAUGUUGCCAGAAAAUUUGAACCACUUAAUUGUCUAAAAUAUCUUUAUCGCCUAAAGACAGUCCUUCACAGGAAAUAACUCAAACCUGAAAAAUAACCCAAGACCUUAAUCACUCCUCCACAAAAUUCAUACAUAGAGUGCCAGAUAGUGAAGUAUGAUUUAUCACUUCAGGGAACAUUUUUCUACUCACCCUGAGUCCAGUAGAGGCAUGCUAAUUGCCAGACACUUGGCAGUGUGCAUGUUAAUGUGAGGUUUAUGUAUAGCUGCUCAGUAACCUAAACCUGUUUCGUGAAGCUCCCAAAAAAAAAAACCAUUCUUGUGCUGAAGAUGCUUCCAGAGGCAGUUUAAAAACUUGGUUAAAGGCGCACUAUAGGGUCAGG